rnacentral:lncRNA from 1 species
UGAAAAAGAGAGAGCUGCCAAAAUUGCAAGCCUGCCACCACCUACACCCCAUCCUUUUGAGAACUUUGAAAUGAAAAGACUGCCUACGGUGAAAGUCUAUAAUGCUGACAAUUUUUCUGUUACUCAUCACCAUCUUUCGGAACCUUAUGUGGAUAGAGAAAUGGACACCCAUCAGCCAGAUGCUCGGUUAGUAGCUGAAGAGGAGGCAAAGCGGUUGGACG